rnacentral:lncRNA from 1 species
GAGUGAGAAUUAGACAGAGACUGAUCGAACAAAACAUAUAUGAAAAGAAAAGCAAAGUAUUAUGAAAGAAUAUGUGUAUGCUUCCUUUUUGACAAGAACAUUUUUAACUAAUAACCUUCCUAAAAAAAGUUCUUAUCUUUUCUAGAAUUAAAACAUUCGUAAGGUAUGACCCAAAAUUUUAUCUGGUCGUAAUUUGUGUGCUACAUAAACUAUAAAAUAUGCAACUAAUCAAUUUAUUAAUCGGGUAAUUUACUGAUAAAUGAAUGUAUAUGGUCUAAAAAUGAAUAUGAGAUGGGGUGGGUUUGGGACAAUGUGUUAACUGCUGGUCUGUGAGAGCUUAGACGUGAUAUGGUAGAAACAAAAAUAAGAAAAAUUUAAGGUCCAAUGUCAACCUAGAGUGUAUGUAAAGAUAUUAUUACAUAAGCUUAUACUUAUAAUUUACACAUCUGUAUAUACAUCUUUUCUCAACGUCUCCAUGUAUGAUAUACAUCUCUUGCUGAAAAGCCUGAAAUAGUAUAUUACGAUAGAAAACAGUAGAAUAUUGAUAUUUGGUUUCUGAUGAUAUAUAUUCUACUUGUCUAAUAUAAUUCUAGGUGUCGCGGAAAUGAAAAAAUUAUAAUUAGUUUCAUUU